rnacentral:rRNA from 1 species
AUGCCUAAUACGACUGUUCUGGCAACUUCGUUGGAGGAGAUGACAACCCAUGGCGAGGUUUUUGAGAUGAAGUUGCUCAUGUACUUGAUCUCAGCUGUAUUUGCGCCUACCACAUAUCUUCGCCCAAGCAACAAGUGCUUUCCUAUCCUGGCGAAGCUGAAAGAUGUUGAAAACAUGAAUUGGUGUAAAUUCAUUGCCGACUUCCUGCAUGAUGCAUUCUCAAAUAAGAUGUACCAAAAGGGAUGUCGCUUGCAUCUAAUGAAGCUCCCGAAGCAGGUUGUGCCUGACAUGCUAUGUACCGAAGGAGAUAUGCAUAUGGUUAGCUUACGACCAACUCCUUCGGAGGCUUACCAUACGGCAUACUCGCUUUCUUCAAAUGAUGGAAGGCUCAAAAUCAAAGAAUGGAGCAAAGUGAUGAAUGCGCACACGAAAAUAAUUGGAGACAAAAUGAAUGUGCGCAAGACACAAGUUGGAGAUAGGUUUAUGUCCAUUCUCCAUUAUGGUGAAGGACCGGUUUAUCUGUUUUAUGGUAUUUUAGCUAGGAGAGAGGAGUGGGUCCUAAGUAUUAAGAACAUAUAG